UUGAAAACUACCUCUCCUUGGUCC
rnacentral:piRNA from 1 species